GAUGAACGCUGGCGGCGUGCCUAAUACAUGCAAGUCGAGCGACAGGACGAGAAGCCUGCUUCUCUGAUGUUAGCGGCGGAGGGGUGAGUAACAUGCGGAUAAACCACCUCAUUGACUGGGAUAACCUCGGGAAACCGGAGCUUAUUACGGCAUAUAUUUUACACCGCAUAGUUCAAAAGUGACAGACGGUCCUCCUGUCACUUAUAGAUUGCCCGGUGCUGCAUUAGCUAGUUGGUAAGGUAACGGCGUACCAAGGCAACGAUGCAUAGCCGACCUGAGAGGGUGAUCAGCCACACUGGAACUGAGACACGGCCCAGACUCCUACGGGAGGCAGCAGUGGGGAAUCUUCCGCAAUGGGCGAAAGCCUGACGGAGCAACGCCGCGUGAGUGAUGAAGGUCUUCGGGUCGUAAAGCUCUUUUAUUAGGAAAGAACAGAUGUGUAAGUAACUGUGCUCAUCAUGACGGUACCUAAACAGAAAGCCACGGCUAACUACGUG
rnacentral:rRNA from 1 species